ACUUGAUGGUGUUUAUGACGUCGAAUAUCGACGUCAUAAACACCAAACUUGAUGGUGUUUAUGACGUCGAAUAUCGACGUCAUAAUAUUCG
rnacentral:miRNA from 1 species